rnacentral:tRNA from 1 species
GGGCAGGUGGCUCAGUGGUAGAGUGCUCACCUUGCAUGUGUGAGGCCCUGGGUUCGAUUCCUCAAUCCCCCA